UGUAUAAACAGCAAAAUAAACAUAUAUUUAUUCCUCACAGUUCUAGAGGCUGGGAAGUCCAAGAUUAAGGUGCCAGGAGAUUCACUGUUUGGAUUUCGCCACGUCUCCCAGCCUGGUCGCGAAGGGGAACAGAGUGGGGAAAAAUGGAGAGACACCAAGAAUAAACGAAAUCUACGUGGACCCUUUGAUCUCCAAAACGGAAGCGGCCCUGCGUUAAGUUUGAAGAGCCCGGCGCUUCAGCUCCUGUGCUCGCCCUGCUCGCAUCGUGGUUGCUACUCUGUGCUGUGGCCGCAACAGACUCGGCUCGAAUCGGAGUCACUGCAGUGUCGCUUCUGGGGUGCAGGGCUCUUCUUUCCCGUUAGCCUCCAACCUCAGCCUGGGCUGCGCGGUUUACCUGUGACUAGAGAGGUUACAACUUUCCUGCGGCUUCAGAGCUCUCUGUACUGGCAGUAAUAGAAGGAACCCGUAACCUGCACGCGGGGGUCGCGUCAUCUUGAAAGGCUAGACUUUUGCCCCCUCUCUGAGCAAGUGCAAUACCCAAAAGCUGAGGGGCUCCCUCUCAGUCAGCCUCAUUGGAGUCUUUUUCUGAUGACAUGAUGUGGCCAUGCCUGUUUCUUUAGCUCAGAUGUUUCAAACAUCCUUAGGGUCUUUUCAGGCCAAAACAGAAAUGAACAAGAGAAGUUAAGAGUUCACACUCCAGCCGGGUGUUUUAAGUGAAACCUAAAGAAUAUAAUAAAAUCUAAACUCAAUGACAUUCCCCAACCCCGAUUUUUAAUUUUGUUUUUACUUCUUUAUUUGCUCUCAGUAAAUGACUGAGGUGUAAUCCACACAGACCAAAGUGUGCUAAUCCUAACUUCAAGGGCCAGUGCAUUUUGACAAAGAAACUGUCACCCAGAUAAGUUACCGGACAUUUUCACCAGCCCAAAAAGUCAUUAGAGCCUCUUCCCAGUCAAUCCUCAGCCCAUCCCCACUUAGGCAGUCACCCUUCUGAUUUCUAUCUCUGUGAUUUGCUUUUGCUUCUCCUUGAAAUCAUGUAAAGGAGUGUACUGACUUUGCCCGUUUGGUUUUUUUUUUUUUAAUGCAACAGUGGUUAUGAGAUGCUUUUAUUAUAUGGCAUAAAUCUCAGGUUUUUGCUGUUAUUGAUGAAUGUAUUCUAACCUGUGAAUAUACCACGGUUAAUGGACACUUGGGCUGUUUCUAGUCUUGGCGAUUGUGAACAAGGUGUUUACAAAUAUUCCACUAUGGGCCUCUUUAUGGACCUGUGCCUUCAUUUCUGUUGCGUGUACGCCUAGUAAUGGAAUGGCUGGGUCAGGAAGUAGGUGUAGUUUUCACUGUAUUGGAAACUAUCAGGCAGUAUUUUAGAUUGGUUACACUAUUGUAGUCUCUUUUUCUUUCUCUUUUUGAGACAGUCUCACUCUGUUGGCCAGGCUGGAGUAUAAUGGCUUGAUCUCAGCUCACUGCAACCUCUGCCUCCUGGGUUCAAGCCAUUCUCCUACCUCAGCCUCCCAAAUAGCUGGAAUUAAGGCCUUCUUCCUCAGCAAUACUCAGGGUCUCAGUGCUCGGAUUUCUCUGUGCCAAUCAGCGGGAAAUGGAACACGAGCCAAUAGCGCUAAGGAUCCGGGUCUGUAACAGGGGCCUGUCAGGUGCAGGAUGCUGUUGGCUCCAGUGAUGUUUCUCAGAUGGGCUGAUUUUUAUGGACAUAGCCUCUGAAAGAAAUCAGUCAGGGAAAGAUUCAGAGACACUUACCUGCAUGUUAAUUCUUCAUUAAUACAGAAGGGAGAACUGGCAUUAGAUUGUUUUCAGCAAAUAAAAGUAAAAUGAAAAUUUAGAAAGAAAAGAGGAAUGGGGAGCAGAAAAAAUGUCUUGGACCAUUGUGAUUUUGCUCCUUUGGAUAAGUGAGUUGGCAGAAGCCUAUCAAAGAGGUCACUGUGACCUGUCUUCUCUGGACCCAUGUGACUUGGUCACCACAGGAAACAAUUAUAAGCUGGGCACAGUGACUCACAACUGUAAGUCUUACUGACACUUUGGGAGGCUGAGGCAGGUGGAUUGCUUGAGGUCAGUUGGAGAGCAGCCCAGGCAACAUAAUGAAACCCCGUCUCUACAAAAAGAUACAAAAGUUAGCCAGCCAGCAUUGGUGUAUGCUGGUAGUCCCAGCUACUCAGGAGGCUGAAGCGGGAGGAUCACCCAAGCCCGGGGAGGUUGAGACUGCAGUGAGCCAUGAUCAUGCUCCACUGUGACCGUGCCACUGCAUGGCUGCCUUGGCAACAGUGUGAGACAUUGUCUCAAAAAUCAAAUGAAAUGUCCUAGAAGUUUACCUGUCCAUCCUGUGCCACAGAAUAUCUGUGUAUAAAGUCCUCCAUAUCCUUCUGUUGUAUUGUCCCCUUAGUUAAGCUGUGAAGCUACCUAGCCCCUUAUUAGAAUAUCAUGGGCACAUGGCCGAGUGCGGUGGCUCACGCCUGAAAUCCCGGCACUUUGGGAGGCCAAGGCAGAUGGAUCUGUGUAGCCCAGGAGUUAGAGACCAACAUGGGCAACAAAGCAAGACCCUACCUCUACAAAAAAAAAAAAAAAAAAUCUGAAUGUGCUCGUGCAUGCCAGUAGAUCCAGCUACUGUGGAGGCUGAGGUGUGAGGAUCACUGGAGCCCAGGGGGUGGAGGCUGCCAUGAGCUGAGACCACGCCACUGCACCCCACACUGGGUGACACAGUGACACCUACUCUAAGAAAAGAUGGGGAGGGAGAAGAAAGUUUGUUGUGUCAGCAAGUAAAUGAAGAAAGCGACAGUAUUAGAGUUGAGAAAUAAAUUGGAAUAUCAUUUGGUACUUCUCCCACAGAAGAUGAAUCUGCUAACUUUGCUGAAGUUACAGGCGUUAUACAAGGCCCGAUGCAGUGGCUCGUGUCAGUAAAUCCUGGCACUUUGUGAGGCCUCAGAGCUGCUUGAGCCCAGUAGAAUCGCACAGA
ensembl:lncRNA